GCUCUCUUAGUCUAGUGGUUAGGAUGCGACCCUGUCACGGUUGCGGCGCGGGUCCGAUUCCCGCAGAGAGCG
rnacentral:tRNA from 1 species